AGGCUUAACACAUGCAAGUCGAGCGGUGCAUCGCAAGAUGUCAGCGGCAGACGGGAGAGUAACACGUGGGAACAUGCCCUUCGGUUCGGAAUAACUCAGGGAAACUUGAGCUAAUACCGGAUACGUCCGUAAGGAGAAAGAUUUAUCGCCGAAGGAUUGGCCCGCGUCCGAUUAGCUAGUUGGUGAGGUAACGGCUCACCAAGGCGACGAUCGGUAGCUGGUCUGAGAGGAUGAUCAGCCUCACUGGGACUGAGACACGGCCCAGACUCCUACGGGAGGCAGCAGUGGGGAAUAUUGGACAAUGGGCGCAAGCCUGAUCCAGCCAUACCGCGUGGGUGAUGAAGGCCCUAGGGUUGUAAAGCCCUUUCGGCGGGGAAGAUAAUGACGGUACCCGCAGAAGAAGCCCCGGCUAACUUCGUGCCAGCAGCCGCGGUAAUACGAAGGGGGCUAGCGUUGCUCGGAAUCACUGGGCGUAAAGCGCACGUAGGCGGAUUGUUAAGUCAGGGGUGAAAUCCUGGAGCUCAACUCCAGAACUGCCUUUGAUACUGGCGAUCUUGAGUCCGGGAGAGGUGAGUGGAACUGCGAGUGUAGAGGUGAAACGUAGAUAUUCGCAAGAACACCAGUGGCGAAGGCGGCUCACUGGCCCGGUACUGACGCUGAGGUGCGAAAGCGUGGGAGCAAACAGGAUUAGAUACCCUGGUAGUCCACGCCGU
rnacentral:rRNA from 1 species